CGGCGAGUGAAGCGGCAACAGCUCAAAUUUGAAAUCUGGCCCCAGGCCCGAGUUGUAAUUUGCAGAGGAUGCUUUUGGCGCGGUGCCUUCCGAGUUCCCUGGAACGGGACGCCAUAGAGGGUGAGAGCCCCGUCUGGUUGGAUACCAAGCCUUUGUAAAGCUCCUUCGACGAGUCGAGUAGUUUGGGAAUGCUGCUCUAAAUGGGAGGUAUAUGUCUUCUAAAGCUAAAUACCGGCCAGAGACCGAUAGCGCACAAGUAGAGUGAUCGAAAGAUGAAAAGCACUUUGGAAAGAGAGUUAAACAGCACGUGAAAUUGUUAAAAGGGAAGCGUUUAUGACCAGACUUGGGCCGGUUAAUCAUCCAGCGUUCUCGCUGGUGCACUUUGCCGGUCCAGGCCAGCAUCAGUUCGCUGCGGGGGAUAAAGGCGUCGGGAAUGUGGCUCCUCUGGAGUGUUAUAGCCCUUCGCGCAAUACCCUGCGGUGGACUGAGGUUCGCGCAUCUGCAAGGAUGCUGGCGUAAUGGUCAUCAACGACCCGUCUUGAAACACGGACCAAGGAGUCGUCUUCGUAUGCGAGUGUUCGGGUGUAAAACCCCUACGCGUAAUGAAAGUGAACGCAGGUGAGAGCUUCGGCGCAUCAUCGACCGAUCCUGAUGUUCUCGGAUGGAUUUGAGUAAGAGCAUACGGGGCCGGACCCGAAAGAAGGUGAACUAUGCCUGUAUAGGGUGAAGCCAGAGGAAACUCUGGUGGAGGCUCGCAGCGGUUCUGACGUGCAAAUCGAUCGUCAAAUAUGGGCAUGGGGG
rnacentral:rRNA from 1 species